UACGUAGGGUGCGAGCGUUAAUCGGAAUUACUGGGCGUAAAGCGUGCGCAGGCGGUUCGUUGUGUCGGUGGUGAAAGCCCCGGGCUUAACCUGGGAAUGGCCAUGGAAACUGGCGAACUGGAGUGUGGCAGAGGGGGGUGGAAUUCCGCGUGUAGCAGUGAAAUGCGCAGAUAUCAGGAGGAACACCGGUGGCGAAGGCGGGUCUCUGGGCCGAUACUGACGCUGAGGAGCGAAAGCGUGGGGAGCGAACAGG
rnacentral:rRNA from 1 species